rnacentral:rRNA from 1 species
GAUGAACGCUGGCGGCAGGCCUAACACAUGCAAGUCGAGCGGGGUUUUCGGACCUAGCGGCGGACGGGUGAGUAAUGCGUAGGAAGCUGCCCGAUAGAGGGGGAUACCAGUUGGAAACGACUGUUAAUACCGCAUAAUGUCUACGGACCAAAGUGUGGGACCUUCGGGCCACAUGCUAUCGGAUGCGCCUACGUGGGAUUAGCUAGUUGGUGAGAUAAUGGCUCAACAAGGCGACGAUCUCUAGCUGGUUUGAGAGGAUGAUAAGCCACACUGGAACUGAGACACGGUACAGACUCCUACGGGAGGCAGCAGUGGGGAAUAUUGGACAAUGGGCGCAAGCCUGAUCCAGCCAUGCCGCGUGUGUGAAGAAGGCCUUCGGGUUGUAAAGCACUUUCAGCGAGGAGGAAGGGGUUGUAGUUAAUAGCUGCAACCUUUGACGUUACUCGCAGAAGAAGCACCGGCUAACUCUGUGCCAGCAGCCGCGGUAA